rnacentral:rRNA from 1 species
CGUAGGGUCCGAGCGUUGUCCGGAAUUAUUGGGCGUAAAGGGCUCGUAGGCGGUUUGUCGCGUCGGGAGUGAAAACUUGGGGCUUAACCCCAUUCGUGCUUCCGAUACGGGCAGACUAGAGGCAGGCAGGGGAGAACGGAAUUCCUGGUGUAGCGGUGGAAUGCGCAGAUAUCAGGAGGAACACCGGUGGCGAAGGCGGUUCUCUGGGCCUGUUCUGACGCUGAGGAGCGAAAGCAUGGGGGAGCGAACAGGAUU